GCGCCGGUAGCUCAACUGGAUAGAGUGUCGGACUACGGAUCCGAAGGUUACGAGUUCAAAUCUUGUCCGGCGCGCCA
rnacentral:tRNA from 1 species